ensembl:processed_transcript
CCGCAAUCCAGUCUGGCCUGAGCAUUUUGCUCCGGCACCUGUGCGUGGAAAACAGCUGAGCCCAGGAGGUUCCAGACCCUGGAUACCUGAGACACAUCGACUUGCUUCUUAGGUUUGGAGUGCAUAAUGAGGAGAAAUAAAAAUAGAAAGAUCUCCAGAAAGAAGCCAUGGGAAGAUUCAAGGCUUCCCAGUCCAAGCUAAUACCUGUGGACACUUGACCAAGUGAGCUGAGAAAACUGGAUUCCUGGCAAAACAAGCGUAACUAGACUCAGGCAAGGGUGGAGCACAGAGGGCAACUAGAUGAAAUGAAAAGAAUGCCCAGGCAUCCCAGUGCCCCCAUUGAUGUUCCAGAACUUCGUCCGUUCAGAAUCAAGCUCAGAAGCUCCCAGCUCCCAGCAAGUACUCUACUACUGAACUACACCAUCUCUCCAGCCCAUGCUUACUCUUGAAUAGCCACAAAGUAUUCAAUGGUGUGGGCCUUGAAAGGAACUACCUGCUCUGCCCCCUGACUGCUUCUGCCUCUACCUCAAUGUACCGAGACUGUUUGACAAGUUUGCUCUGGCUCAGGCUGAGAAAUUGACUCCACUCUUACCCUGACCCCUGGCAUGUCCACAUCUGGUCCUGUGUAGUCACCAACCCCAGGUGUGGGCUAUUUGGUACUGGACAGUCAAUUGGAGUGUUGUUUGCUGGGGAGGACCACCUCUCCAGGUAAAAUCUAAACAUCAAGAAAAUCAACAACCCAAUUAAAAUAAUCUAGAGCACUAAACAGAGCGUUCUCAAAAGAAGCACUAUAAAUGGCUAAGAAACACAAGAUCCUUUGUCAUCAGGGAAACACAGAAUCUCACUUUUCAGUUUUCAUCUUACUGUAGUCAGAAUGGUUAUCAUCAAGAAUGCCAGCGACAUGGAUGUAGAGGACAGAUUUCUUCAUUGUCUAAGUCUCAGGAAAUAUUGCAGAAGAGGAGUCAGGGACUAAAAGAUAUAAGAUAGGAAGGGCUGCAAAGUUCCAUCCUAGAGACUCAAUACAGCCAUUGCAAUGAUGAACUCACAAAAACUGCAUUUCCCUGAGCUUAGCCUGCUCAAGACAUUGAAAGUAUUUCUAAGUAGCUUUUCAUGUUGUGAAUGUACCUGUCAGCUGUUGAAGCAGUCUGGUUUCUGGUUCAGAGCUCUUAGGGACAGAGUUGUCUUGAACAUUUGCUUAAACAGGCUUUUGUGUAGACAUCAGCUGCUUUUUUUUAAAUCUCUGAAAUAAAUGCCUAGGCGUUCAAUGGCAAUGUUAUAUCAGUAUGUAUUUAGCUUAGUUUUAAAAUGAGAAACUGUCAAAUACUUUUGCAGAAUUACUGGACCAUUUUACAUCCCUGCCAACAAUGUAAGAUUGAUCCAGCUCCCCACAUUCUCAUAAACAUUUGUUUUUGUUCCUUUAAAAAUAUAUAUAGGAAAAAAAAAAAAAGAAAACAAGUUAACCAUUCCAUUUAUUGAGAAUUCACUUACCAUUCAGUGGAUUGCUUAGAUAUGUAGGAUUCAGUUUUUAGUACACAUACAAGGUUGUAUAUCAAUUACUACUAAUUUCAGAACAUUUUCCAUUACCAUAGAAAAAGAAACCCAAUAUUCAUUCUCAUCUCUCCUCUAUGGAUUUACCUACUCUAGAUAUACCAAAUAAAUGGAAUUUUUAUAAUACAC